GCCCCGCCGCGGCCUGAAAGCAGCCGGAGGCCGAGCGCGGCCGUGGGGGAUGUAUGCGUCUUCCAAAAAGGCCUCGUUCAGAUGCCAAGUCAGAAGCAAUGCAGAACUACAGAGCCACUGGGAAAUCAAGCAUUUAUCUUCCGUGAACAAAUGUUAACUGUUAACUCAGAACUCCACGUCACAAGUAAUAGGCAGCCCUGAGUCAGCCAGAGCAAGGACUGUGCUAAGGUACAGAUUUCCCCCCCCCUUUUUUUUUUAAACUGAAGAAGCCCGUUGCUCUCUGUCAGAUCAUUUAAUGUAAAAGAAAAAAAAAAGGUUUAAACAAAUAAUCUGGGCUAUCUGAAUUGCAAAACAAAAGUGAUCUGAAAUAGUUUAGCAAAAUUAAAGCUUUUUAAUUCAUCUCAGUCAUGCUUGAAUGGAAUGAUGAAAACACAGAGAACUGCCCUCUUUCCUGUUAGCUCAAUGUAGAAAACAGGAGGUGACAGGAGAAAGCGUAGUUCAACUUACAAUUCUGAUGUUAGGAAAGUUGCAAAAUGUCUUUCAAAAUAUAUUUAAAUAUUCCUUAUAUGUCAAAGUGCUACUCUGACUAAAAUCAGGUAUCAUUGAAAAGCAUCAUUAAAGCACACUUAACAACCAGAAUGAAAAAAAUCCUCUCGAGAAUGACCUGCAUCCACAAGGACUGAAUACGUAUUUUCACCAAAAUCCUUCUAAGACUUCUGUGGUAACAGAAAGCACGCAAGCUAUUAUCCCUUCCCCCUCCUUUCUCACAUGAGGCUUCUGAGGGAGACUGGAAUGACUUGAGAAUUAGCGUCACCUUCAGAGACAACAGCUUGUGUAAGAGAUGCACUUAAGCCAUCUUUCUAUAUAAUAAAUACAAUAUAAAUCUGCAAGAUACACAAAUAAAAAAGUCUGACACUGAAAUACACCUUUCACUAAGAAUCUUACGGCUUGUGACAGAUGUAGUUUAAAACCAUCUAUCCAUGAUUUAGUUCAGUUAUUCUUUUCCCCACAGUUACUAGGCUUUCCAGUAUAUGACAUUGGUGAGGCUGUAAUUAGGCACUGAUGCCCUCUUCUCCUUUUGACAGUGAGGUCAUUUCGUAAGAUCCCAUUACCACCAACAUUUCAUCUAACUUUGAAGUCCGACACAAACUUACUGUUGAAACGUCCUAAUGUGCCAUUAGAGCAUUAAAGUGUGUGGAGCAAUAAACUUGCCAAAACAUGUUAACCCGGCUAUAGACUAGUUGUGUGCAAUUUGGAAUAUAGCUACUGCUUUCAAUGCACAGUUCCUAACAGCAAGUACGUAUUCUUCUUCACUUGUUCUCUGGAAAGGAAGAAGAAAUAUCCUAAGCUACGUAAAGUUACAAAGAAGGUUACAUAUUACUCUAAAUAGUUCUAAACUUUAUGGAACUGAAAAUUCUAAAUUGAACUGAGAAUGUGCAUUUUAAAAUUCCAAAACUUCAAAAGAUUUCUGUAUGAUUCAGCACUAAAUUUCUCUGCAUCCCUCUCUGUUACUUUCCAGUAGAACACAGCUUUGCCAUACUACAUAAACCCAUCAAGAGUAUUUAUACAAUCCAGAGUCUAUCCACAUCAGUUUUUAAUGACACUUUCUCCAAAAUACCUUUGUCACUUCUGAAUGUUUCUCCCAUUGUAUAACUCGUUUUAUAAAACCUCACAUCCACACAUACAGAGAUCACCAUCUCAAACAACUCCAUUUCAGUGUCACACAGUAAUAACAAGUUACCCAUUAGCACAUAUAUACACAUACACGUAAACUCAUGAAACCUCCAAACUGAAGGCCAAUGAGCACUCCAACUUCUAUAGACAGAGCUCAAAUCAUAGUCUAGCAACACAAAUUCUACCUCUAGGAAGAAGUGCAUAAGGUGAACCCCCUGUAAUACUGUUACUUUUCACAAAGCAAUUCAGAAAUAACUUUAUUAAAGUAUGAAAUUCUAACUCUAUUGUUUUUAAAUAUUAAAAUAUAUUAAAUUAUUCUAUAUAUUUAAAAAUAUAAGGUUGACAAGUUAAUUUGAGUUCAAGAUAACUUUGGGACCUCUGCUUUUUGUAAACAUCCCCCUCAUCAUUAAAUGAUGAGCUGGAAAAGGUCAGAGGAGAAUCAUUCUUUAGUACACAAGAUUCUCACGCUGUGUAUGUCUUCAGGACAGAAGAACUGUUUUACAGUGUAUUCAUUCACAAGAACUAAUACUAAGGAAAUAAACUUUUAGGUAACUAUUUCCAAAAGAAAUAGUACUACUGCAACAUGAAACUGCAGAACCACUCAGCCACUGGAAAAAAAACAAAACCAACAAUCUCAUUUGAGAAUUCACCCUAUACAGAGGACUGUCUAUUCUAAAGGACACUAUGUACAUAGGAAGGAACAGGACAGAUACUCACAGAAGUCCAAUCGUUCCAUUAUAAACGCGAGUUUACUGAGAAGAAUACUUUUUUGAACUAGGAAGAAUUUGAAACAAGAUGAUUGGAUUGGAAUGCUUAGCAUCUAUCCUAGGACCCACACAGAACCAGUAAAGAUCAGGACGGUUUCCAGGUUUGCAUGUUCAUAUGCAUUGCAUUAGGGAAGCAUUAAACAAGUUGUCAUAAUGUCCACUUAACUAACUUUAAUCCAGGUCAACAUCAAAAUUGAAAUAGGAAAAAAGCCUUAAAAUGAAGUGCUCACAUUUGUGUUCUGCUUUCAAAGCAAGAUCCAAACAUGAUGUAAUAGAUCAAAGGCAACUUGAAAUCAGUAUUACCUCCUGAAAGAGAACAUCCUACAUACUAACCUCUUUGAAACUACGAUACAGACACUAGUGUAAGUACCUGGAUCUUGAGAUGAAAGUCUCUGAAUUGCAGACAAACUCCCAGAGACAUAGGCAGUUCAUCCCUUAUCUGACAUGGAUAUCUGUUCCCCAACUAUUAAGUAUUUAUUAGAGAUUCUACAUGAAGUGGUCAUUAAUAAACGUUGACCAUGAACCAAGCUAGGCUGCUACCAAUCCAUGCCAGGUAUUAAUCUAGUUGAAUGCAUUUCCUAAGUUCAAGAGAACUGUAGAACACUAAAUGGAUCUGACAUUUUAAAGAUAAAAUUGUGAGCAUAUAAAAAAAAUCUGAACAUCGAAUAUUUGCUAAAACAUUAAAUUGCUCAGCUUCUGGAUGGAUUCAUUUGUGUGCAUCUGUCCUUACAGGGAAACAGCAAUGCUCAAGACACUUCACAAACUUUUGCAGGCUAUCAAUCAGUGCCUAAUUGUUGCCCUGGAAUCCAAGAACACUUUUUGUAUAGGCAACUUUACUACCGUUAUGGGGUGAGAAGGAAACCUUUUAUAUUGUUUUUUGGUUAAGUUAACACUGCUAUCAAGUGCCAAGCCAAGAGUUUUAGAAAUGGAUGCUGCAUCUACAAGGAUGACACAGUUAUAGUAAGACUACCCCAAUCUCUGCAAACAAAUGAUAUUAUGGCUAAGAUACCUAUGCCACUGUCAAGCUCUACUGAAAAUACCCAGAAUUUCUAUUGCUGAUAACUUAUAUUUAUAAAAAAAACAAAACCCAAAAAACUAGAACAAACUCAUUUCAUCCUGGUAGCUGCACUAGCCUCCAUUUACUGAAGCAGAAUCUGAAAUUUGCAGCUUAAAUUUAUACAGGUCUGAUAUCCGUCAUUUACACAGUUUAGUUUCCACUGUAGCUUAGGCUUAAACCCUUUGGCCAACAGACAGAAAUUGAGAGAACUCCAGAUCUGUGUUCUGAGAGGUGGACUAGAAGACAAAGCUCAAGCUCACUAGUGAGGUAAAUGAGUACUGCUUGUAUUAGAUGUGAACAGAAAUAAGCAUCUCCAUACAUAUAGUAGACUGCAUUAUGUGAUUGUUAAUAUUCAAACAAAUUAAGGUUUCUAUGACAACCAAGAAAUGCACUUGACCAUUUACAGCAAAAACAGAUCAUGCACUUUAUACAAUAACAAGUAGUUUAUGGCCUUGCCUACCUGCAAAUGAAUUCCUUCAGCAGGUACACAACAUAUUGCUUGAAGUCAUAAAAAUAUAUAUUAUCUUUCCUUUAGCAUUUAGAUAUAUAAAUAUUUUACUGAAGAACAUGCAUCAUUUAGAUAAACAAUUGUAAGAACAUCCUCUAAACAUGGGGUUCUUUGACAUUUGGCUGUAUAAAAAGAUUACACAAAGGUAGCUACUCAAAUCAAGACAAACCAAUACAGCAGUGAAGAGUCCAUUGUGUGCCAGUCUACAGUUAAGCACCUCUUGCAACAAGUUAUGUAAUAUAUACACACAUGAACGCAUCAUAAAUGGAGAAAAUAGCAUAAAUCCAUCUGUAUAUUCUUCAGUCUUGUUUGGACUCCCAACUUACUGUUCACUUUUCUGCUCUUGUUUUCCAUUCAGCUCUUGGUCAACUCUGCUUAGUAAAGAAAACAGCAAUGUUAAAACUAUAUUAAAAACAAAUUUAGUUCCUAAGCUUAUAUAUUAAGCAAAACUAUUCAUCUUAACAGGAAAAAGGUGAAAGCUCUUGCAGGGAACAAGUUUUAGCAUGUAAAUAUUGAAUAGUUAAGAUUUUUAUUAAAUGCAGUCACAAUAAGAUGUUUAAAAAGUCUGUUUUCCUACUUUCCCCUAGAAAUUGAGUAAAAUUGUUAAGAAGCCAUUAAAGUAAGUAUAGCAUUUGAAAAGCACAAGUGCAAUUUGACUGCACAGCAAGGAGAAAGAGCGGGUUCUGUACUCUUACUAAUAAAUACAAGCGGGAAUACAGUUCUCAGUUAACAAUACUAUCAGGUGCUACUACUUGAUGAAUUCAUACACUGCAAUAUUAGCACAGAAUUAUCUUCAAAUUUACAGUAAUUAAGCCAAGAAGGUAACAGCAUAAACUUAAUUAACAAGAGUUCAGUGGCUCCUUAACUGCACUACUUUCUAUUGAAUUAUAAGUCUCCUUUGUCUACCUAGAAAAAAUUCAUUUCUGAAGGGUUUCUGUAUCUACCUUGGGACCCCUGAACACAGUGUUGCUUUGCAGAAACUAGGGGAUGGCUCACACUCCUGCACGAAAUGUACUUUUCAUCUUUACUGUAAGAACAAACCACAGUCUUAACUAUAUCUCCAUUAUUUUCCAGAAGAUCACUUAAUUUUAGAACCAAUCAUAGUUCCAAAGCAACAGAGGCUCGGGAUAAGUUUGUCUUCUAACAGCUGAACUGACUAACCUAUCUGUUCAGUCUCUCCAACAAUAGCCAGCCAGUUUCUUCAAUAUGAUCAAAACAAUGACAGCUCUUCUAGGCCAUGAACCCAUAAAAACAGGAGGCAGAUUUUUUAUUUUUUUUUUUUAAACUGUCCUAUGAACUGCACCUAACACAGAUGGAUUCAGUAAAUCUGGAGCAGUGGUGUUUAGAAAGAACAUUCCCAAUUAAGGAAUAGUUUACCUGCACAGUAUGCUGCUGCAACCCAUCCCUGUCCUCACUGCAGUAACUUAGGAAAGCCUAUUUUGACAUGACUUGUAGAACUAAUUAUAGGAAGCACAAGAAAAUAUGGUAAGCUAAUGCAAGUUGGCUAUGCAUUGACAUAGAGUUGGCAAUAUAAAUCCACAGAAAUGUAUCAUACUGUAGCUUCCAAAAUGACUCAAAUAUACAUAGCCAAAGAAUUCCUACUGCCGUUUUCAACACUCUUCGUAAACAAACAUCAGCACAUCUCCCUUCCCAUACUACAAUAAUGCCUACAGCUGCUUUCAACAUGAUUAAUAUCUCACGAUCACUUAGUGCCCGUGACCUUCCCUGUCUACUUCAGAAGUGUGUUUUGAAGUAAAACUUCAAAAAAAAAGUAAAAAGUAAUGGUAAUAUAAGUAUCAACAUGGGCAGGGACACUAAAGAGUGCUACUUUUCCUCCAGAUUAUCGAGUUUACACGUUACUGCUUGAAUGUCUCAGGUUUAAAGCCUGAAUACAAUGGGCCUUGCAAUGCAAUUGAGUCAAAUCAUGCAUUCUGGAAAAAAAAGCAGGUAAAAUUAUUGUUCAAUAUAUACCAAAUGGGUUUCUCAAGUUCAGCUUUCUUAGAACUUAAGGUUACAACACCACAAGAUUCUCUUAAUUGCAGUAAUUCCGAGAGAAGUAGCCUCACAUGCAAGUUUUCAGAGAGAAUUACUUUUUAAUUUUCAUUUCACUGUUUCUUUGUUCAUUACCCAAGUUAGACAAUAAGCUUCCCUCAAUAGUUACACACAUGGAAAAGUAGUUAAAUAAGGUGAAGUUAAUAGCAGAACAUUCUAUACAUCUGUUAGUUACACAGUUAAAAGUAAAAGCAAAUAAAAUUAUCACAGCUACUAGGAUAGCUUGAAUGGUUAGCAAGAGACUGAAAGUUUACAAAGUGAAAAUCCAAUGAUUGUUACCAAGGAAUAUACGCACUGCAAAUACAAACAGCACUAAAAACAUUAGAUUGCAUCUGUGUAAGAUAAAAAGGUAGUUAAUAUGAAACUAAAUACAAGAUUAGAGCUUCCUCCACAGUUGUGCCUCUGCUGUGUACUACAGCUUAGCAUCUAAAAACAGGUCUUCAGACAUCACUUGUUAGAAACAGUGAAACAAUUUAAUCAGUUUGUACAGAAGCAUGCUUUUGCCUCUUGAAGAUGUGGUUAAGAAUCCACACACCCACCUUAAAACUUAGAAUCACAUUUAAUAGUAGAGACUAUUUACAGAUAUGUGAGUUUUCAGAUGUUACUUUCAUGCAUAAGAACUAGGUCACAAGUGCUUGUUUAUAUUUACAAAUGCUUAUUCCUUUACAUAAGCCAAUCAUCUGGGAGUUAGUUGCAGUGCAAAUAGUCUUAUCUAGAUGCAACCCUCAUCAAAACAUGAAUAUACCUUGUUUGUUUCUUUCUAAACUUUUCUUCUUCAUACCUUGGUGGGGAAAAGUUUGAUUUCAGUAAAUACACAAAGGCCAAAUUCAAUAGAAGCUACAAACUGGUGUUAGUGUCAAUAUAGUUUGUGGAAACAUACCAAGUUUAUAAAUGAAAAAAGCAAAAAAAAAAAAUCUUGUACCUUCAACAUCAUCAAUUAGUAUUAAAAUUUAAUUACUGUGACAUAUUAACCCAGAACAACUUCCUGUACAGUAUUUAUCCAUCGCUAAAGUCUAUAUUCUUAAUAGGUUAAAAUCAGAUAUCAAACACAGAAGUCUGAGAGUUAACUACUAUAAAGGAUUGACCUCUGAAGACUGAAACAGGCUGCCCAGAAAAGCUGUGGAUGCCCCAUCCCUGGAGGCUAGGCUGGAUGGGGCUCUGCGCAGCCUAAUACAGUGGGUGACAACCAGCCCACAGCAGGGGGUUGGAACUGGAGGGGCUUUAAUGUCCCUUCCAACCCAAGCAAUUCUUUAGUACAGAAAGUGGCUUUGUAAGACUUGGAAUGACAGCCUGAAUUUCCCUAACAUAUCCUUCAAAAAAUCCCAUGACAAAAUUCUCAAAGUAGCACAAGGCUGCUCCAACUUUGUCACAUCUUCUGCCCUCAACAAAAAACUGUGUUUGCUCUAUGCUAUAAAAAAAAAAUAAAUUUCACAACUAACGCCAGCUGAAUGUUUACUGCAGUACCCAGCAGUCAGUUUAUCCAACAUGGAUGUGAUGCUCUGCCCAAAGUGAUACUACACCAUCUUCCUUUAUAGAGUUCUCCAUUAGCCAUCACAUCUGUGAUCACCUAUUGUGGCACAUACUCUGUGGACUCUGUACGUUACACCUUCCAAUUAAUCUACUGACAGAAUUAUUAAUAUUUCCAUCUAGCUCUUUCAAGACAGAAGUUUAUUAUUUCUCUUUAUUACGGCAUCCACAGAUGCUGUUCAAGUGUCAUUAUCACACUUGAGAGCAGAGUUGUGCUGCCAUUAAGUGGAUAUUAUAUGGCAAAGAUCUGAAAGGAAGGAAGAACAGAAGGAAAAAAGAAAAUCAAGGACAUUGAUACUGCCUUCCCCUCUCUGUCAAAGUAGUUUCAGAAGUACUGUGGGUAGGGAUUCAAGCACUUCUUAUCCACAGCUUUCUUCAAAUGAAAUCCCUACCCAAGUGAUAUUUCACUCCUUAAGUUGUAGUGCAGUUUAGCACGAACAGUGAAGAUACCAUAAAUAAGCUCAACAUAAGCACACACAAUUUCUUACUCAAGCCCAUUUAGCAUACAGUAAGUAAAACAACUGCAGCAAGGUCUAAUCUACAGACGACCAGACACAGUCAUCAUAAACUGCUAAUUAAGUAAGACACUAUACAGGAAAGUCCUUGUACAUUAGCAUUCAUUCUGUUCUAUUGGAUAUUAAAACUGUAGUUCAGCAAUUCCUCCUAGAGAUAGCAGUUUUAUUAAAUACCAAGUAUUACAUUCAAACCAACCACUGAGUACAUUAUAUACCACCACCUAAACAUGGUCAACAUAGAACACAUUUGAAUUAUAAGACGUACUGUUUUAUGCAUUCUGGGAUGCCAACAUAUUCCAUGGGGAUGAGUUCAGCUAGUUCUGCCAGGGUAAAGACAUACCUAAUUUUCUGGCUGAAUUUUGAGCU